CGCUAGUGUGUGGGCGCCAGUCGUACUCCACUCGUGGAGUCAGGGAACCCGGUGAGAUUCCGGGACUGACGCGCAGCGGUGAGGGUGACGGGCGAGGCAACACGCCACUGGAGCGAUGCUCUGGGAAGGUGCCUCGCACCGGUUGAUCCCGAGUCCGAAGACCUGCUGGCACUGGUGACAACCG
rnacentral:ncRNA from 1 species